rnacentral:tRNA from 1 species
GGAGGAUUGGCCGAGUGGUAAGGCACCGGCUUGCGCAGUGUUCGAUCAGAAGCAAGUCGUGGUCGGGGUUAUCCCCCGCGCGCGUUCGACCCGCGCAUCCUCCG